AAAAGGAUAGGUGCAGAGACUCAAUGGAAGCUGUUCUAACAAAUGGAGUUGACUGCAUUGGUAGAGGAAUCUUUCCAUCGAAACAUCAGAAAGGAUGAAGGGAUAAAUGUAUCUAUUGAAUAAUCUAUCAAAUCAUUAGAACGCCCGCGUCUGUAUCGGUAUUUUUUUACAUUAAAAAUGCAAGAAUCGACGUGAAUUGAUUUCACAUUGAAGAAAGAGUCGAAUAUUCAUUCAUCAAAUCAUUCAACCCAUAGUCCCGUAGUUCUUUUAAAGAACUGAUUAAUCGGACGAGAAUAAAGAUAGAGUCCCAUUCCACAUGUCAAUACCGGCAACAAUGAAAUUUAGAGUAAGAGGAAAAUCCGUCGAUUUUCAAAAUCGUGAGGGUUCAAGUCCCUCUAUCCCCAAAAAAGCUUAUUUGACUCCCAAUUAUGCUAUCCCCCUUUUUUGUUAAGGGGUCUAAAUUCCUUUAUCUUUCUGAUUCUUUGACAAACGUAUUUGGGCAUAAUAAACUCUGAUCACAUGUGAUCAUGUGAUAUAGAAUACACAUCCAAAUUAAGCAAGGAAUCCCUAUUUGAAUGAUUCACAAUACAUAGUAUUCCUCCUACUGAGACUUAGUCUUCCAAAAACUUACAGGACUUGGAGAAAACUUUGGAAUGCCCCCUUGUCCCUUUAAUUGACCUAGACCCCAAUCAUCCUCAUAAAAUGAGGGUGGGAGGCCACGGAAUAGUCGGGAUAGCUCAGCUGGUAGAGCAGAGGACUGAAAAUCCUCGUGUCACCAGUUCAAAUCUGGUUCCUGGCAUAUGUUUGAUUUGUAUGAGGUCUUUCUUUUCGAAAUUCAAAGAUAUCAAUCGAGAUCCAUAUCCAUAUGGAUUUGAAAUCUUGAUCAUAAUAUCGAUUUUGGCAAGAUAUACCCCAUCUAUUUUCUAGAUGGGUAGAGUUUCUUAAAUUCAAAUAAAGUAUCUAGAAUGAAAUUCUACUUUAUCUUUUUGAUUUUUCAUUCAAUCAAAAAGAAUGUUAAUACUUCAUAUAUAUUUGUAUGAUUAAAUUGGUUGGUUGAAAGAAGAAAAAGUCGAAGUUGAAAUAGACGAGAUUCGAUUCAGAUACAAUACAAAGAAAUGGAAUUCGAUACCCUUUCAUUUCUUUGUAUUUUCGUUCCUAUUCAAUUCUCUAAUUCGUCUCAACAUGAGUUUCUAGAACCGGUCUAAGCAAUAGGUGCAGUACAAGAUUCAUGAUCAUGAUACAGAACCCGUUUGAUUCAUCCUAUUUGUUUGGCUCGUACAAAAUAAGCAGUUUCCAACUAAAUGGAAGAAUUACAAGAAUUCCCUAAUUAUGUGCUUUUUUGAUAGUCUAUCAAAAAUCCCCUAAUACAAAAGAGACGCCGGUUAUUCUGGUUAAUCUAGAACAGAAAGUCCAAUCUUUGAAUCUCUGAGAUUAUAUAAGUAGAAAUCACUUCCUUAUCCUUCAAUGAGCAUCUUGUAUUUCAUAAAAAUUAGGGGCAAUAUAAUCCUUACGUAAAGGCCAUCCUAGCCAACUUUCAGGCAUUAAGAUACGUUUCAAGCGCGGAUGAUUCUCAUAAGAUAUUCCCAACAUAUCAUAAGAUUCUCGCUCUUGAAAAUCCACGCUUUUCCAAACCCAGAAAGCGGACGGAAUUAUAGGAUUCCUUCUUGCGGCAAAUACUUUGAUGCAUACCUCUUCUGGUUGAUUUACGCCAUACUCGAUUCUGGUAAGAUGAUACACACUCGCUAACAGCCCGCCAGGUGAUACAUCAUAGGCACAUUGGGAGCGUAGAUAAUUGUAACCAUAUACAUAUAAAAUGACAGCAAUGGAAUGCCAAUCCUCGGGCCUUAUUUGUAGGGUCUCUAUUCCUUGAUAAUCAAAGCCCAAAGAUCUAUGAAUUAUCCCAUGCUUUACUAGCCAAGCAGACAAACGACCCUGCAUCUUUUUUAUCUCCCGCAUUUUUAUUUAAAAAAUUUCACAUUCUCGAUCAAAUUGAUGAAGAUUGACUCGCUACUUGUUAUUCUGUACAAAGGAGUCCUGCCUAAUUCACAAAUUCGUGAGAAGAUACUGAACUUUUAUAUUUGAAAAAGAUUUCAGUAGGGAUCUCUGAAGUAGAUGGGGGUUGAUAGAGGAAGCCUUGAUCAUAAUUUCCAGUAUUCAUACUGCGUGCACCAUGAAACUUGUGAUUGGUCGUAAAACACCGAUUUACUUGUUGAGGCCUAAUUUGAUUGUCAUAGAUUUCUCGAGACAUUUUCUUCCGAAGUUUCGUUAUAGCAUCUAUAACUGCUUCUGGUUUAGGGGGACAACCCGGCAAAUAGAUAUCCACAGGAAUUAGCUUAUCGACUCCCCGAACAGUACUAUAAGAAUCGGUACUGAACAUCCCUCCUGUAAUUGUACAGGCCCCCAUAGCAAUAACAUAUUUUGGAUCGGGCAUUUGCUCAUAUAAUCUCACUAAGGAGGGGGCCAUUUUCAUUGUUACUGUUCCGGCUGUUAAAAUUAGAUCCGCUUGUCUAGGACUCGAUCUUGGUACUAGUCCAUAACGAUCAAAGUCAAAUCGUGAUCCUAUUAGUGAAGCAAAUUCAAUAAAACAACAACUGGUACCAUAGAGAAGCGGCCAUAAACUAGAGAGUCUUGACCAAUUUGAAAAGUCAUUUAAUGUAGUUGAAAUAACGGAAUUUUCGGCUGUUGGAUCAAGUAAAGGAAACUCAAUGGAAUUCAUAACUUUUUCAAUCGUUUUUUCUUUUUAUUGUCUGAAUAUUCAGGAACUAGGACCAUUCCAAUGCCCCCUUUCGCCAUGCAUAAACUAAACCAACAAUUAAGAUAAGUACGAAAAUGAAAGCUUCUAUAAAUACGGAUAGACCCAAUACAUCGAAACUCAUUGCCCAUGGAUAAAGAAAAACCGUUUCAACAUCAAAAACAACAAAAACUAGAGCAAACAUAUAAUAACGAAUUCGAAAUUGUAACCAAGCAUUGCCCAUUGGUUCUAUACCCGAUUCAUAACUAGAGAGUUUCUCCGGUCCUUUCCGAAUCGGGGCUAAAAUUCCGGAAAUGAAAAAUGCUAAAAUAGGAAUAAGACUUGAUAUUAUUAGAAAUGCCCAAAAAAUAUCAUAUUCGUAAAGCAAAAACAUAGACACACUCCUAUGAACAUGGAAAAUAGACCGGAUUGGUCGAUUCGAAUUGAAGUUGUAAAGUCAUCCAGAACUGUUUAAUCAAAACAAGAAUUCAUUUUGAUCAAACCAUCUAGUUCCUUUUGAUUAUUGUGGGCAUAUCUCAUUUCAAGAUUUAUCGACUGACUUGACUGGGAUCCUGUUUCCAGUCUACUUACAGUUUACUUGAGUUUUUGAAGUCAAUUUUCUUGAAUUUAUAUAUAUAUUUAUAUAUAUAUUAUUUAUAUGUAUAUUAUAUAUAGUAUAUAUUAUGCUUAGACAAAUUUUCUUGUUUUCCCCCAGGAUUCUGGCUAAAGAAAGCGACUUCCAAAUAAAAUCGAAUUAUUAUUUUGAUUUUAUGUUUCAAAAAUUUGAACUUAUUAUUCUUUUGAAUAUUGAAUAAAAAGAGGUUUUUUCUUAAUGAUUUAGAAUGAAAUAAGUAUUUCCAUCUCAGGAUUUCGGAUAUCUUAAGGUAUAUUCUGUUUAUUAGAAUCUGAGUGGGGUUUUCUCUUGAUUGAAUACAGAACCAUGAAACUUACCAAAGAGAUUCGUUUUUCACCAAACUUUAGCCUGUCCCCUAGAUCUAUGUGAAUAACUCUUUGGAGUGGACUUAUGUCUUUGACUUCUUAAAUUCAUUAAGGUUAGGUUAAAGUUAGGUAUAAUAAAGUAUUAGGUAUACUAAGGAGUAUCAUUAACUUAACUCCUUGAUUGUGGUGGACAGGGAAAUUCAUAUCGAAUUUAUCUCCGCGGAUUAAUGACCAAUUUAUUCCAGUUUUCUGUUCUGUUUAAUGUUUAAAAUGAGAAUGAGUGAAUUUUUAGGAAAAAUUCGAUUUCGAAAAACCAACCGGUCAGUCACAAGUACCAAAAAGGAAAAUUAUAUAAUUUUUUCUUUCAAAUCUUCAUUUGAUUUUAUAUUUCUUUUCGAUUUUGAUUUCUAGGGCUAUACGGACUCGAACCGUAGACCUUCUCGGUAAAACGGAUCAAACUUAUUAUUAUCAAAAUGAUCUGAACUGUUUCAAAAACCCAACAUGCAUUUUUUUUUGCAUUGGGCUCUUUCAUUAACUGAAAGAAAUAUCAGCCAAUCCACCAUAUUUUUUUUGACAGAAAAAUCCGAUAAGGAGAUAGCUCCGUGUGCUCUGAUUCAUUAUAUGAGAGAGCACUACCAAAGUGUUUCAAGGGUGUGGGUUAUCUUGACGUAGGUCUGCCUCCGGCCUAGAUUGUUUUAAGUUAAAUGAAGUCUCUAUCGUUCCUUUGAAAAUGAAAAUCAAAUAUGAAACUUCAUACACCUUAAAGCUCAUAGGACGAAAAGAAAUUUUUUGAGAACCUUAUACUCAUUAUGCCUAGCAUUGAAUGCACUGGUAUUCACCUUAUCAAUAUCUCAAAUCAACGAUCCGGUCUGUUUGGCACCAAAAUCCGAUCGAAUCAUUUGUCAGGCUAUUGUUCCCUCAAUAGUUAUGAGGGUAAGACAUCGAUUUCGCAAGAAAAUGAAUUUCUUUUUAUUUGAGUGUAUAAUGGACUCCCCCAAAAAACAUUGGCGCAUGUGUAAACGAGGUGCUCUACCAACUGAGCUAUAGCCCUUAGUGCUUGUGAUGCGUAUUUUAUCAUGUAUAGAAUUUCUUGUCAAGAUGAAUAUUCUAUGAUCCAAUAUCAUAUAUUUUGGAAUGGUAUUGCUUAGGUUAUUAUUGCUUAUUAAGGAAUAUGCUAUUUAUAAUCCAUCGGUGGGAUGGGUUCCGUUUGGUUUUUUUGGGAUGAUAAAUUACCUACUUAACUCAGUGGUUAGAGUAUUGCUUUCAUACGGCGGGAGUCAUUGGUUCAAAUCCAAUAGUAGGUAGAACUUAUUAGAUACCAUUGACUCCGGUAUCUAAUAAGUUUUUUGACCCAUUCUUUUUUCUUUUUAGUGAUUUUGUAUUCUUAUUGAUUUCGAUUUCAUUUUUGAAAUGCGUUGUAUCAAAAUUGGACUCUGUCAAGUGAAUCCAAUCAAGCAGAAUCCAGGCCAAACUUCUUUUGAUUAUUCGAACGCAAUAACUGCUUAUGAAAUCACAUUGACAGCCUCUACUCUUGUCCUAGCUCGUCGGAGAGCUAGAUUUGCUUCAAUUUUUUGUCUCUUUCCUUCAGCUUUUCUCAAACUAGCUUCUGCUAUUUCAAGAGUUUGCUGAGCUUCUUGCGGAUCAAUAUCACUACCCUUUUCCGCAUCAUUGACUAAAAUAGUGAUUUCAUUAUUGCCUAUUCUAGCAAAACCACCCAUCAGAGCCAUCGUGAACCAUUGGUCCGUAAGGCGUAUUCUCAAAAUUCCUAUAUCUACAGCUGUAGCAAUAGGAGCAUGAUUUGGUAAUACGCCAAUUUGACCGCUAUUCGUAGAUAAAAUGAUUUCUUUCACUUCUGAAUCCCAAACAAUUCGAUUAGGGGUCAGUACACAAAGAUUUAAGGUCAUUUCUUCAAAUUGUUCUCCAUUUCUAAGUUCAUAGCCUUCCCGGCAGCUUCAUCAAUAUUACCUACCAAAUAAAAGGCCUGUUCAGGAAGACCAUCUAAUUCUCCGGAAAGGAUCAAUUGAAACCCUCUAAUGGUUUCUGCUAGACCAACAUAUUUCCCAGGAGAACCGGUAAAUACUUCGGCUACAAAAAAGGGUUGUGAUAAGAAACGCUCAAUUUUUCGCGCUCUUGCUACGGUUAAACGAUCCUCUUCGGAUAAUUCGUCCAACCCCAGGAUGGCUAUAAUGUCUUGAAGCUCUUUAUAACGUUGUAAGGUUUGCUUAACUCUUUGCGCAGUUUCAUAAUGUUCCUCACCAACGAUCCGAGGUUGAAGCAUGGUUGAAGUUGAAUCUAAAGGAUCUACUGCCGGAUAGAUACCUUUGGCAGCUAAUCCUCUUGAUAGUACGGUAGUAGCAUCUAAAUGUGCAAAUGUCGUAGCAGGAGCAGGAUCGGUCAAAUCGUCUGCAGGUACAUAAACUGCUUGAAUCGAAGUGAUUGACCCUUCUUUGGUAGAAGUAAUUCUUUCUUGUAAAGAGCCCAUUUCGGUACUCAGGGUGGGUUGAUAACCGACCGCGGAAGGCAUUCUACCUAAUAAGGCCGAUACUUCGGAUCCUGCUUGGACGAAACGGAAGAUAUUGUCGAUAAAUAGAAGUACGUCUUGUUCAUUAACAUCUCGGAAAUAUUCCGCCAUCGUUAGGGCAGUCAAACCAACUCUCAUACGAGCUCCCGGCGGUUCAUUCAUCUGACCGUAAACCAGGGCUACUUUUGAUUCUGCAAUAUUUUCUUCAUUAAUAACUCCAGAUUCUUUCAUUUCCAUGUAAAGAUCAUUUCCUUCACGAGUACGCUCACCCACUCCGCCAAAUACGGAUACGCCCCCGUGGGCUUUGGCAAUAUUGUUAAUCAAUUCCAUAAUGAGUACCGUUUUCCCAACCCCAGCUCCCCCAAAUAGUCCGAUUUUUCCCCCACGCCGAUAAGGGGCUAAAAGAUCUACUACCUUAAUUCCUGUUUCAAAAAUAGAUAAUUUUGUAUCCAAUUGGAUAAAGGCAGGCGCAGAUCGAUGAAUAGGAAAUGUUGUACGAGUAUCUACAGGACCCAAAUUAUCAACAGGCUCUCCAAGCACGUUGAAAAUGCGUCCCAGAGUAGCUCCACCGACCGGAACACUUAGAGGAGCUCCCGUAUCAAUCACUUCCAUUCCUCUCAUCAGACCAUCUGUAGCACUCAUAGCUACAGCUCUAACUCGAUUAUUUCCUAAUAAUUGCUGUACCUCACAAGUCACAUUAAUUGGUUGACCAACAGUAUCUCGACCUUUAACUACCAAAGCGUUAUAAAUAUUAGGCAUUUUGCCCGGCGGAAAGGCUACAUCUAGUACCGGACCGAUGAUUUGGACGAUACGUCCCAGGUUUUUUUUUUCAACCGCGGAAACCCCAGUAGUAGGAUUAAUUCUCAUAAUAAUAAAUAUGUGUCAAAGUUUGUGAAAAUUAUCAAAUUUAAAAUAACCGUCUAAUAGCACGCCGAUCAGUUAAUUAAUUCAAUUAAGAAAUGGGAGUUAGCACUCGAUUUCUUUCGUUGGUGCGAUUCAAUCGAAUCCACUUCAAUUGGUUCCUUAUUCAAUGAGUGAAGUUGCAAGCCCAACCAAGCUAUUUUGAAACAUGAGAUCUUGAGAAAGUUUUUCAUUUGUCUAUCAUUAUAGACAAUCCUAUUUCGAUUCGAAAAUAUAUUCUAUGGAAGUUGAACCCGAACUCUAUUUACAUUACGAUUCAUUAUUUCUAUCUUAUCGGCUCUUCUUAUUUUUGAUUUCAGCAUAUUAAUUUAUGCCUAUAGCCUAUCUCUUGCAUGGAUGAAUUUCGGCUAUUUUCAUAUCUAAGAUUUACAUAUACAACAUAUACCGCUGUCAAUAGGGAAUUUCUUAUUAGUUGGGUUAGUUAUUUCGAUUUCGAAAAAGGUAAAAAAAGGGGGGGUUGCGCUAUACAUAUGAAAGAGUAUACAAUAAUGAUGUGUUUGGUAAAUCAAAUACCAUGGCCUAAUAAUCAAUCUGAUUAGUUGAUAAUAUUAGUAUUAGUUGGAAGUUUUUGAAAAAUUCCCGUGAAUAGUUUCAUUAACGCCUAAUUCAUUCGUGUCGAGUAGACCUUGUUGUUGUCAGAAUUCUUAAUUCAUGAGUUGUAGGGAGGGAUUUAUGUCACCACAAACAGAGACUAAAGCAAGUGUUUUUUUCAAAGCGGGUGUUAAAGAGUACAAAUUGACUUAUUAUACUCCUGAAUACGAAACCAAAGAUACUGAUAUCUUGGCAGCAUUCCGAGUAACUCCUCAACCCGGAGUUCCGCCUGAAGAAGCAGGGGCAGCGGUAGCUGCCGAAUCUUCCACUGGUACAUGGACAACCGUGUGGACUGAUGGACUUACCAGCCUUGAUCGUUACAAAGGGCGAUGCUACAACAUCGAGCCCGUUCUUGGCGAAACAGAUCAAUAUAUUUGUUAUGUAGCUUACCCUUUAGACCUUUUUGAAGAAGGUUCUGUUACCAACAUGUUUACUUCCAUUGUAGGAAAUGUAUUUGGAUUCAAAGCCCUGCGUGCUCUACGCCUGGAAGAUCUGCGAAUCCCUACUGCUUAUAUUAAAACUUUCCAAGGUCCGCCUCAUGGGAUCCAAGUUGAGAGAGAUAAAUUGAACAAAUAUGGUCGUCCUCUGCUGGGAUGUACUAUUAAACCUAAAUUGGGAUUAUCCGCUAAAAACUACGGCAGAGCAUGUUAUGAAUGUCUUCGCGGUGGACUUGAUUUUACCAAAGAUGAUGAGAACGUGAACUCCCAGCCAUUUAUGCGUUGGAGAGAUCGUUUCUUAUUUUGUGCUGAAGCAAUUUAUAAGGCACAGGCUGAAACAGGUGAAAUCAAAGGACAUUACUUGAAUGCUACUGCGGGUACAUGCGAAGAAAUGAUGAAAAGAGCUGUAUUUGCUAGGGAGUUGGGAGUUCCUAUCGUAAUGCAUGACUACUUAACAGGAGGAUUCACUGCAAAUACUAGCUUGGCUCAUUAUUGCCGAGAUAAUGGCCUACUUCUUCACAUUCACCGUGCAAUGCACGCAGUUAUUGAUAGACAGAAGAAUCAUGGUAUGCACUUCCGUGUACUAGCUAAAGCGUUACGUCUGUCUGGUGGAGAUCAUAUUCACGCUGGUACCGUAGUAGGUAAACUUGAAGGAGAAAGAGACAUUACUUUGGGCUUUGUUGAUUUACUGCGUGAUGAUUUUGUUGAAAAAGACCGAAGUCGCGGUAUUUAUUUCACUCAAGAUUGGGUCUCUUUACCCGGUGUUAUUCCCGUGGCUUCAGGGGGUAUUCACGUUUGGCAUAUGCCUGCUCUGACCGAAAUCUUUGGGGAUGAUUCCGUACUACAGUUUGGUGGAGGAACUUUAGGACACCCUUGGGGGAAUGCGCCAGGUGCCGUAGCUAACCGAGUAGCUCUAGAAGCAUGUGUACAAGCUCGUAAUGAAGGACGUGAUCUUGCUGCUGAGGGUAAUGUAAUUAUCCGCGAGGCUAGCAAAUGGAGUCCUGAACUAGCUGCCGCUUGUGAGAUAUGGAAAGAGAUCAAAUUUGAGUUUGAAGCAGUGGAUGUUUUGGAUCCAACAAAAUAAUUACUCUCCGUUCUCUUAAUUGAAUUGCAAUUAAACUCGGCUCAAUCAUUUUAGUAAAAGAUUGGGCCGAAUAGAACCAUUCUAUUGCAUGUAUUUUGGAUAAAUACAUAGAUCUCGAGAUAGAGAAGAUUUCAAAUAGCAAAUUGAAGACUCAAAUGGUUCUAUUGUCGUCUUGGAUCCACAUUUAAACCUAUGGAUCCUCAGGAUUGGUAUAUUCUUUAUAGAUCCUGUAGUUUGGCUGAAUCAAGCGAAGUAUCACAAAUUUUUGACCCAUCCUGUAUAUUGUCUUUUUCGUUCCGUGUUGAAAUAGACCCUUAAUUUCUUACUUCUUAUUAGUUAUUAGUUAGUUAUUAGACGAGAUUUUACAAAAAAAUUCUAUCUAGGGUAGAACAAAUAUUGCUUUUUUGUUCGACGCGAAGGCGAAGACAUAGGAAAAAGCACUUUUUAUCAUUCUAUUUAAUUUCGAAUGAAAAGGGAUUCCAUCAUAUUACUAUAUAGUUAUAGUAAAAUCUUACCUCCGGAUUCCCACAAAAUAAAAGAUAAUCACUUCUUAUUAAUAAUUUAGUAUUUCGCAAUGAUGUAAUUUCUAUGUUUAGUCUGAUGGGAAUUCAAAGACAAAUAAAGAAUUGCGGGUCGAAUGACUAUUCAUCUAGUGUAUUUUUAUGCAAAUAAAAUAGGGGGCAAGAAAACUCUAUGGAAAGAUGGUGGUUUAAUUCGACGGUGUUUACCAAGGAGUUCGAACACAGGUACGGGAUAAAGAAAUCAACGGACAAUCUUGGUCCUAUUGAAAAUACUAGUGAAAGUGAAGAUUCGAAUCAAAAAGGUGGGGCUAAAAACAUUCAUAGUUUGGGGGGUCGUGACAAUUCUAGUUACAGUGAUGUCGAUCAUUUAUUUUUGGUCAAAGACAUUCGGAAUUUCAUCUCUGAUGAUACUUUUUUAGUUAGGGAUAGUACUGGAGACAAUUAUUCGAUCCAUUUUGAUAUUGAAAAUCAGAUUUUUAAGAUUGACAACGAUCAUUCUUUUCUGAGUGAACUUGAAAGUUCUUUUUCGAGUUAUCGAAAUUCUAGUUAUAGGAAUAAUGGAUCUACGAGUGAAGAUUCCUUAUACAAUUGCUCGAUGUAUGAUACUCAAUCUAGUUGGAAUAAUCACAUUACUAGUUGCAUUGACGAUUAUCUUCAGUAUCAAAUCUGUAUUGAUAUGUCCAUUGUAAGUGAUAGUAGUGACAGUUACAUUUCUAGGCGCGUUUUUGAUAAACGUAGAACUAAUAGUGAAAGGGGGGGAUCCAGUAUACGAACCCACGAGAAGAGCAGUGAUUUAACUCUAGGAGAAAAGUCUAAUGAUCUCGAUGCAAUUCAAAACUACAAGCAUUUGUGGGUUCAAUGCGAAAAUUGUUAUGGAUUAAAUUAUAAGAGAUUUUUGAAAUCAAAAAUGAAUAUUUGUGAACAAUGUAGAUAUCAUUUGAAAAUGAGUAGUUCAGAAAGAAUCGAAGUCUCGAUCGACCCCGGUACUUGGGAUCCUAUGGAUGAAGACAUGGUCUCUCUGGAUCCGAUUGGAUUUCAUUCGGAGGAGGAGACUUAUAAAGAUCGUAUUGAUUCUUAUCAACGAAAGACAGGAUUAACUGAGGCUGUUCAAACAGGCAUAGGGCAACUAAAUGGUGUUCCCGUAGCACUUGGGGUUAUGGAUUUUCAGUUUAUGGGGGGUAGUAUGGGAUCCGUAGUCGGGGAGAAAAUCACUCGUUUGAUUGAGUACGCUACCAAUCGAUUUCUACCUCUUAUUAUAGUGUGCGCUUCGGGGGGGGCACGCAUGCAAGAAGGAAGUUUGAGCUUGAUGCAAAUGGCUAAAAUAUCGUCUGCCUUAUAUGAUUAUCAAUCAAAUACAAAGUUAUUUUAUGUCUCAAUCCUUACAUCUCCUACUACUGGUGGGGUAACAGCUAGUUUUGGGAUGUUGGGAGAUAUCAUUAUUGCCGAACCCAACUCCUACAUUGCAUUUGCGGGUAAAAGAGUAAUUGAACAAACAUUGAAUAAAACAGUCCCCGAGGGUUUACAAGUCUCUGAAUAUUUAUUCCAGAAGGGCUUAUUCGACCUAAUCGUACCACGUAAUCUUUUAAAAAGCGUUCUGAGUGAGUUAUUUAAACUACACGCCUUCUUUCCUUUGAAUUGAAAUUCUAUCAAGUAAGUUCAAUUAUUUUAUUUGUAGCAAACAAGUAGUUAACUUAUCGGAAUUAAAGUAAAUAAGAAUGGAGUUUUCUUUAAUGACUUAAGAUCGAAUUGUAGAAAGAAUCAAAAGUUGAGGAUAACUCUUUUUUUACCGGGAUUCCCAUUAAGAAGUCUCUAUCAAAAGAAGUCUCUAUCAACAAGAUAAAAGCGAGAGUUCUUCCUUUCGUGAAAUUAGACAAACAAAACGAAUUUCGUCUUACAUAAAUUCAAAUCAAAUAUAGAAAAGAUAGAUAUAUAAUUUUCUAUUUUUCUCCAUCUACCGAAAAUUCAAUUUUCACUAAAAAUUCCGGUUGUGUCGCAUUCUAACGAAUCUUUCGAUAAUUUGUAACAAACUCUUUCUUUAGUAAAUUUGAAGACAAGAACAAAACAUAACGAAAUAAAAUAAAAUAAUCAAGUUUAUUAUCAUACGUAUCUUUCAUGUAGAAAGAUGAAUUUAUUUAGUUCUCCAUUUUCUACAUUCCUUAGAUUUCUUUUAUAUACUAACUUAGAUAUAUAUAGAUACUUAUAUUUUCUAUUUCGAAUAAGAAUUUUCAAAUUAAAUUAAUUAAUAAUAAUAACGAAUUCCUAAUAAUCACAAUUCUGAAUUAUAAUAAGUAUAAAUAGAAAAUAGAAAAAAAAACAAAUUAAUAAUAAUAACAGGUACAAUAUAGUAAAUCGAGGUACCAUUUUAUGACAACGUUCAAUCUUCCUUCUAUUUUUGUGCCUUUAGUAGGCUUAAUAUUUCCCGCAAUUGCAAUGGUUUCUUUAUUUCUUCAUGUUCAAAAAAAAAAAAUUGUUUAGGACGCAAUCUCAGCCGUUUUUUUUUUUGAAACUGUAGCAUAACACAGAUAUUUAUUUCGGGAAAUGGAAAUAUAGUAUAACAUGUGAUUUCCGCCGAAUAUAAAGGAAAAAGCUCUUAUGCCCGCAGAAAAUGAUCUCUGGAUAAAUGAAUCCUAGCUAGUUUCAAAUAGAUCAGCAUCGCUGGAUGCAGAAAAUGUAAAGUUGGUGGAUCCAUAUGUAUAUUGGGGUCCUCUGAAGGGUAUGUUAUUAUUUUAGAUCUAACCAAUUUGAUGAAUGACUCCUAAAGCUUCACAUUAAACUAGUGCUAGUUCACAUCAAACUAGUGCUAGUUGAUGAGAGUUCCUUCGGAAACAAAAAAGGAAGGGCAAAAUGGGUAUUCUCUCAAUUCCAAUAAAAUACAAUCGGAUCAAGUAUGAGUUGGCGAUCAGAACAUAUAUGGAUAGAGCUUAUAACGGGGUCUCGAAAACUAAGUAAUUUUUGCUGGGCCCUUAUCGUUUUUUUAGGUUCAUUAGGAUUCUUAUUGGCUGGAACUGCCAGUUAUCUUGGUCGAAAUUUGAUAUCUUUUGUCCCAUCUCAGCCAAUUCUUUUUUUUCCACAGGGAAUUGUGAUGUCUUUCUACGGGGUCGCGGGUCUAUUUAUUAGUUCCUAUUUGUGGUGCACAAUUUCUUGGAAUGUAGGUAGUGGGUAUGAUCGAUUCGAUAGAAAGGAGGGAAUAGUGUGUAUUUUUCGUUGGGGAUUUCCUGGAAAAAAUCGUCGUAUAUUCCUCCGAUUCCUUAUAAAGGAUAUUCAAUCCGUUCGAAUAGAAGUUAAAGAGGGUAUUUAUGCUCGCCGUGUCCUUUAUAUGGACAUCAGAGGCCGGGGGGCUAUUCCGUUGACCCGUACUGAUGAGAAUUUGACCCCACGAGAAAUUGAACAAAAAGCCGCGCAAUUGGCCUAUUUCUUGCGCGUACCUAUUGAAGUUUUUUAAAAGGAACUUAGCUGAAGAACGAAUGUUUUCUCAGCAGGAGGGAAAUCCUCUUGUUUUCUAAAUGAAGUUUCGUCAGAACAUUCAGUCCAGCCAAAGCCGGGGUAUAUGGAACAACCAUAAAACAAAACUUUUUUUUCGUUCUUCUUCGAAGUGAUAAGAUGCAGAUAGAGCAUAUCUUGUAGAUUUUUUCCUUUUUGUCAAUCGAUAUUUUUUUAUCUUUUCGCUUGUGUUCUUUACUAACCAAUAAUCGAUUUUCUUAGUAAUGAAAACUGGCCUUUUUCUGUCUUGUUUGUUUUGCCGCUCCUUUUUUUGAUCAUCACACUAUCUUUCUCUCAAUCAUUUGAUUCUUGGAUAUGUCGAAUCGUUGCAAUUUUUUUGCAAUUAUUGGAUAUUUUGAUAGAAAACGAGUUCCUUCGUCUCAAAAUAUUAAUAAUAUUCAUUCCAAACAAGUGUCUCCUUUCAAUGAAUGACGGAAAGAAGCACUUGUUUGGAAUUUGGUGAAUCGAGAUAUCCGGAAAGAAUAUUUUUGAUUAUUUCUUCAUUCGAAUUCGCAGUUCGAGGCGGAGUCUUAGUCUAUUUCUGUAUUCUUUCUGGAUUUAAACAAAAUCAUAAAUCAAAUAGAUUCAGAGGUUUGAUACCUUAUUGAGAACUCAUAUUAAAAAAAAAAUAUUCGAUCACAUAGAAUCGAGAAAUGAAGUUUGUUAAUUCAAAAUUCACAGGUGAAAAAUGGCAAAAAAGAAAGCAUUCACUACUUUUUUCUAUCUUACAUCUAUAGUCUUUUUUUUUCCCUGGUGGGUUUCUCUCUCAUUUACUAAAUGUAUGGAAUUUUGGGUUACUAAUUGGUCAAAUAGUGGUCAAUCCGAAAUUUUUUUGAAUGAUAUUAAAGAAAAAAGUAUUCUAGAAAAAUUCAUAGAAUUAGAGGAAAUUCUUUUAUUGGACGAAAUAUUCAAGGAAUACUCGGAGACACAUCCCCAAAAGCUUUCUAUAGGAAUCCACAAAGAAACGAUCCAAUUAGUCAAGAUACACAAUGAGGAUCGUAUCCAUACGAUUUUGCACUUCUCGACAAAUAUAAUCUCUUUUGUUAUUCUAAGCGGUUAUUCUCUUUUAGGUAAUGAAGAACUUGCUGUUCUUAACUCGUGGGCUCAGGAAUUCCUAUAUAACUUAAGUGAUACAGUAAAAGCUUUUUCGAUUCUUUUAUUAACCGAUUUAUGUAUCGGAUUUCAUUCACCCCACGGUUGGGAACUAAUGAUUGGUUAUGUUUACAAAGAUUUUGGAUUUGUUCAUAAUGAUCAAAUUAUAUCUGGUCUUGUUUCCACUUUUCCGGUUAUUCUCGAUACUAUUUUGAAAUAUUGGAUUUUCCGUUAUUUAAAUCGUAUAUCUCCGUCACUUGUAGUUAUUUAUCAUUCAAUGAAUGAUUGAUAAAUCAUCCACCGAUAUUCAUAUUCAUUUAAUCUACUCUAAUGGUUAGUUAUACAUAAGCAUUAAAAACCUUCUAUUGGGGGGAUUUUCACCCUAUAUCCUAUAGUAUUCCAGUAAAGUGAUUGCAUUAAAUAGCAGAAUCGUGGAUAGGGAACUAUACCAGCAACCUACCCAAUUUAUUGUAUAAAUUAUUAUAUAAAUUUUUCGGAUCAAUGAUUAGACCAUGCAAACUAGAAAUACUUUUUCUUGGAUAAAGGAACAGAUUACUCGAUCUAUUUCCGUAUCACUCAUUAUAUAUAUCAUAACUCGGACAUCUAUUUCAAACGCAUAUCCCGUUUUUGCGCAGCAGAGUUAUGAAAAUCCACGAGAAGCGACUGGGCGUAUUGUAUGUGCGAAUUGUCAUUUAGCUAAUAAGCCCGUGGAUAUUGAGGUUCCACAGGCGGUACUUCCUGAUACUGUAUUUGAAGCAGUUGUUCGAAUUCCUUAUGAUAAGCAAGUGAAACAAGUUCUUGCUAAUGGUAAGAAGGGGGGUUUGAAUGUGGGGGCUGUUCUUAUUUUACCGGAGGGAUUUGAAUUAGCUCCUUCCGAUCGUAUUUCUCCCGAGAUUAAAGAAAAGAUAGGCAAUUUGUCUUUUCAGAGCUAUCGCCCCCCAAAAAAAAAUAUUCUUGUGAUAGGGCCUGUCCCCGGUCAGAAAUAUAGUGAAAUCACCUUUCCUAUUCUUUCCCCCGACCCCGCUUCUAAAAAAGAUGUUCACUUCUUAAAAUAUCCUAUAUAUGUAGGCGCGAAUCGAGGAAGGGGUCAGAUUUAUCCCGACGGAAGCAAAAGUAACAAUACAGUUUUUAAUGCGACAGGAAUGGGUAUAAUAAGUAAAAUCCUACGAAAAGAAAAAGGAGGAUAUGAAAUAACCAUAUCAGAUCCAUCGGAUGGACGUCAAGUUGUUGAUAUUAUCCCUCCAGGGCCCGAACUUCUUGUUUCAGAGGGUGAAUCCAUCAAAUUGGAUCAACCAUUAACGAGUAAUCCCAAUGUGGGUGGAUUUGGUCAGGGAGAUGCAGAAAUAGUACUUCAAGAUCCAUUACGUGUCCAAGGUCUUUUGUUCUUCUUGGCAUCUGUUAUUCUGGCACAAAUCUUUUUGGUUCUUAAAAAGAAACAGUUCGAAAAGGUUCAAUUGGCCGAAAUGAAUUUUUAGACUCGCGGAUUUAUCGAUAUCAGGAUCGUAAAAAGAACAAAAUUCUUGUUGUCAAUUAUCUAUAAAAAGAAAUUACGAAAAACUUUUAUUUACUUGCUCUUUUUUUACGAGCUUGGGGGAAUCAGCAUUCCUAGUCAUAUCAUAAUAGGUAUAUUUUUCUUUCAAGAAGACUAUUUUAUUUGACUUUAUGACUUUGUCUUUGUUAGGAUUCCAAUGUCCUAAAAUGGAUCCAUUUUAGGACAUUGGAAACCGAAUUAAAUUGGGAUAGAUAUCAGCAUAAGUAAGCGGGUAAUAGAACGAACUACAAAUGUGGGGAACAGAUAAUUCUAAGAGCUAUUAUUUGUCUUCGACACAAGAAAAGGGGGGUUUAUAAAAUCCCUUUUCUUGUGUCGAAAGAGGAAUGAUUUUGGGCUCCUAGUCUGGGUUUCGGUUUUCCAGAUGUAUCAGAACCUUUUUCUAUUUAUUUCGGACAAUGACAACAAAAAAGUCAAGUGAUGUACAAACAAAAAAUAGAACUUAUUCCAUGAACUUCGAAAAAAUCUCUACUUUUCUGAUAUACUAAAUAAAUAAAAAAAGAAAUAUGGUAAGAGGAUAGAAAGUAUUUCUACGAUAUCGAAUCUAGAGAAAUAUAUCGAAUCCGUGCAAUUGAGUGAUUCCCUCCUUAUUCAAAGAACCCAUACAUACUCUCAAGAUCAAGGAAGAGAUGUUCUGAAUCAAUGAAUGAAGUUUAUUUUUCAAAAGCAUUAUCAGAAAAAAUGGAAUGGAGUUUUGUGAAACAGCAGAAAACGAAACCCACUUUGUCAUUUAGACAAAAAAAGACUCUGAUUCUUAAGAACCCAACGGUCCCUUUCCCCUCGAAUCAGACAAAGAAAGAAGGGAAUCCCGUUGAGUUCCUACGUCUACAACUCAAUCCAUCCGAUUACUACAGGGAUGAACCUAAUCCGGAAUAUGAACCAUAAAAGAAAAUACCUAUUAAACCGAUCACAAGAAUACCAGUUACAGUACCUAUUAUCCAAAGAGGAAUCCUUCCAGUAGUAUCGGCCAUUUCCUCCACUUCCCCCCAAUUUCAUUAAGUGGUCAUGCUAGAGACAUAAACAGUCAUGGAUAAUUAUGAGAUGAGAUCCUUCCGAACGGGCUAAGAGAAUGCCUAGAGUUUUGAUUUUUUCUUUCGUUUUCUUAAUUGAAGAAAUAAUUCGAAAAUAAAACAGCAAGUACAAAAAUAAGUAAUAACCCCCAGUAGAGACUGGUACGAUUCAAUUCAACAUUUUGUUCGUUCGGGUUUGAUUGUGUCAUAGCUCUAUAAAUUCGGAAUUAGGUUUAUCGUUGGAUGAAUUGCAUUGCUGAUAUUGACCCCAAAAAAAAGACGGUUGGUACAGCUAGUCCGUGAACAGCCAACCAUCGUACUGUAAAAAUUGGAUAGGUUCGAUCUAUAGUCAUUUGAUUAGGACCUCCUAAAACGAUCUACUAAAUUCAUCGAGUUGUUCCAAAGAAUCAAAACGUCCAGUUAUUAAUGGAAUUCCUUGUCGGCUCUCUGUGAAAUAUUCGUUUGGCCGAGGGCUUCCAAAUACAUCGUAAGCUAAACCCGUACUGACGAAUAACCAACCCGCAAUAAAUAGGGAAGGUAUCGUAAUGCUAUGAAUGACCCAAUAUCGAAUACUGGUAAUAAUAUCAGCAAAAGAACGUUCUCCUGUGCUUCCAGACAUGCUCAGCUCCACAUAUUUUUGUACAGUCAAAGGGGGGAUCGUAAAAGAUGAGAUCAGUAAAAGGCAAUCACUGAAAUUGGAUCUUUGUAGGAUCGUCAAUAUUGCACCGAGGGCAUCUUUCGAAUAUACCGAAUCAGUAUAACUAUCCUUCUUUCGACACAGCAACGCAAUUUGAAUCAGUAUCGAAAAGAAGUGCUAAAUUAAUGUAUUUCUUCCUUUCCUUUAUCUGUUCAGGUAAAAUGAUGCUAUAUUUAAUACAAAAUUCUUACAAUGAAAGAGAUUAUCAUCUUUCUACAAUUUAAGGAAUUGGUGAAUCUUCCAGUAACAAAUAUGAGUAGUAAAUCCUAUUCGAUGAAAGAAAGCGAAAAAAGAAUCAAAAAAUCGGAAUCAAUACUUGUAAUGAAUUGGAUCUCAAUCCAAAUCUUGAUUUAGCUGCAAGAAUGAGACUUUUUAAAAAUAUGAAAAUAAAAAAUGGAAAAUAGUAUUCCAUAAUAAUUCAAAAAGAGUUUCAUUUUUGAAUGAAGUUACACGAUUCAGUUCGUAUUAUUGGUUUAUGUUCAACGACUCGGUUGAUAGGAAUUACUAGAUGGCUAGAUCAUAGAAAUGAUGAAUCAGUUUCGUUUUAUAUGCCUGUCACUUUCUCUUUGUUCGUGCCAUCUAGAAUGAUAGAUAAAUCACAAAAUUUCAAUUGAAAUUAGUUGUUCAAUUUAUAUUUUUGUAUAUCCUCCUAUGUCAAAAAAAAGGAAACUCAGGUAAAUGCUUUAGAAAUCUAUGUAUAGAAAUACCACAUUUCAGUUAGCCCCCCCUCAUGCUUACUAUAACCAGUUAUUUCGGUUUUCUACUAGUAGCUUUAACUAUAACUUCAGUUCUAUUUAUUGGUCUGAGCAAGAUACGACUUAUUUAAAAUUUCUCUUUGAAAGAAAGAAUUCAGAAAGGAAAUCUUUCUGUGAGAUUCCGUAUAUUCUACAUCAAGUCAAUUUUCAAUUCUUGGUCGUUGAGAUUUAUGUCAAUUCUGAUUAAUAUUUAAUUAUAGAUAUUUCCUCUUUUUUUCUCCUUUUCAUAAAAUUGAAAUGAUUGAAGUUCUUUUAUUUGGAAUCGUGUUAGGUCUAAUUCCUAUUACUUUGGCUGGAUUAUUCGUAACUGCAUAUUUACAAUACAGGCGCGGUGAUCAGUUGGAUCUUUGAUUAAUUAAGAUUUCUUUUUUUGACUUUUGACUGACCCCCUCCUUUCUUUAAUGUCAAUGCUAUACAAGUGAUUGAAUCCACUUCAGUCUAAUUUUAUUUACGAAGAAAAAAUCACGCUCUGUAGGAUUUGAACCUACGACAUCGGGUUUUGGAGACCCACGUUCUACCGAACUGAACUAAGAGCGCUUUCUUAUCAGAACUGUAAAGAAAAAAAGAUUCUGUUUCGAACCCGAAUCCAUUUGAUUUUGUAUGCAUAUAUUCUAUAGUUCUAUAAUUCCGUGCAAUUGGAAUCGAUCUCAAUUGAUUCCUUGUUACUGGUUAAAGGGGACAGUAAUUAGGUAGGGAUGACAGGAUUUGAACCCGUGACAUUUUGUACCCAAAACAAACGCGCUACCAAGCUGCGCCACAUCCCUUGAAUCGUUCUAUAGUAUGAUUGUAGAGAAUUCCUGUCUUGUUUUCUACAUGCCUAUUUCCUCCAUUGAGAAACACAAUUGUUCGGCCCAUUUCGUCUUUUUUGUCUCAUUUAACUUAGAAUAAUAAGAAAGGGAAAACCUUAUGGAUCCUUUUUCAAUUUGAAUUAGGGAUUCUGUGUACAACUCUAAGUGGCUCUUAACCACAUAUGCAUCUGAUCAUAUAUGCAUUAUCUUUAUGUAUUUAAAAAAAAGGAGGUUUUUCAAUGCGAUAUCUAAAAACAUAUCUCUCCGUGGCUCCAGUACUAAGUACGCUAUGGUUCGGGGCUUUAGCAGGUCUAUUGAUAGAGAUUAAUCGUUUUUUUCCGGAUGCGCUGACAUUCCCCUUUUUUUCAUUCUAGUUAUUGACGUCGGAAGGAAUGAACAAGAUUAGAGAUACAAUCAACUAUCUGUGACUAAUUUAUCCUCCCUUUUUCUCUUUUUUCCCUUUUUUCGAAUUUUGAAAAUUAAGGGACGAAAGAGAAAGCAUAAAAGUGAAUUCAACGUCUGCGAGACUUGGGUUCAAAUUCGAAUUAAAUGAAUAGUAAUAAUACACUAAUACUAAUAGAGACGUGUGGAUAGAAUGCGGGUCUAGAGCAAGAAUACAAGAUCUUUAAGGGAAAUAUUGUUCUUCGGGUUGAAAUGGAGUUUCAAAAUCAUUGUCUUACUUAUUCUUAUUAUUUACUAUGGCUUUGCUUUGAUUUAUUAGAACUUUAUUGAUUUUUAUCUUUUCAAGUUUGAUUGAAAAUUAGUAACUUCUAUUUUUUCCUUCCUUUCUUUUUCUUUAUUUCGAAUCAAAUAUAGAAGAGCUGAGUAAAUCAAAAAUACAAAGGAGAUUCAUGGCCAAGAAGAAAGAUGCGCGAGGAACGGUGAUUUUGGAAUGUAACGGUUGUAUCCGAAACGGUGUUAAGAAGGUAUCAACAGGCAUUUCCAGAUAUAUUACUCAAAAGAACCGACACAAUACGCCUAAUCAAUUAGAAUUGAGAAAAUUCUGUCCCUAUUGUUACAAACACACGAUUCAUAGGGAAAUAAAGAAAUAGAUCGAAUCUUAGUUUUGAAAUCUUAGUCUUGAAAGGGUAAAAAUGACAUUAUAUAGAACAACAUAGAGCUCGAAAUAGAACAUAUUUUACUAAUAAAAAAUCCUAUUGUGGGUGAAAAUGACAAUUAAGAAAUAGGAUUUUUAGGAUAAGAAAUAAACUAAACAAACAAACCAUGGAUAAAUCUAAGCGGCCUUUUCUGAAAUCCAAGCGAUCUUUUCGUAGGCGUUUGCCCCCGAUUCAAUCGGGGGAUCGAAUUGAUUAUAGAAACAUGAAUUUAAUUAGUCGAUUUAUUAGUGAACAAGGAAAGAUAUUAUCUAGACGAUUGAAUAGAUUGACCUUGAAACAACAACGAUUAAUUACUAUUGCUAUAAAGCAAGCUCGUAUUUUAUCUUUGUUACCUUUUCUCAACAAUGAGAAACAAUUUGAAAGAACCGAGUCGACCGCUAGAACUACUGGUCUUAGAACCAGAAAAAAAUAGGUUUAUUCUUUGUUCACUUGAAUCAGAAUUCCAAUCCGAACUCAAACAUGGAUUGGUUUUUUGUUCGACACAAAUUUGAGAAGCCAGAUUUUAUUAUCAUGUCUGUCAUAAGAAAAAAAAAAACGAAAAAAAAAAAGAGUUUUUUUUAUUGAACGUGUUCAUUCAUUUUCACUACUUUAGCCUAUUUUCUCAUAGUCAUUUCGACUCCACCUUCCCGGAGUUCAUUCUCCGGGGAACUCCAUUUAACUUAUUCUGGUGUAUUCGUUCCAAUCUACUUCUUUUCUGAUUUCAUUGGAAAUCAUAUAAAGACACUUUCUAUUUGAUAUAGCUAUUUGGGCUAGUAUUUUACGAUUAAGAAGCAACUGUCUUUUGUAUAGAUCAUGUACUAAUUUACUAUAACUAGAGGAUAUUCCUCGUUCUCGAAUUAAUGCGUUUAUUCGAGUGAUCCACAAACGACGAAAAUUUCUUUUUUGCUUAUUCUUGUCCCGAUGAGCCGAAACCAAAGCUCGUAUUUUCUGUUGAGUAAUAGUUCGAGUCAGUCUUGAAUGAGCCCCUCGAAAGCUUGAGGCAAAGAAACGAAUUUUUGUUCUGCGUCUCCGAGCUAUAUAUCCGCGUUUAAUUCUGGUCAUUACAUAAAUAAAACUUUGACAAAUAACUAAUUGAUUUCUUUUCUUUCAGUUAUUCUUUUCCACGCCCUGGUCUAUUAAUAACCAAACGGAUUUUUCCAAUGUAUAAAAUCAAAAUCCCAAUGGCUUUGGCUACUAUAACCUUCCAGACCACGAUUUUUUAGGUAUUUUACUGCGAAAUACGAAAGAAAUAAGGAACUAUCCUUUGAUAGGUGUUCAAAAUAGAGUCAAUAAAAAAGAACUAGAAAUAGUGGGUUCCAUCGUUUCUAUGGUUACUUCUUAAACGGUGAGGUCUUCUCUAUACAUCGGAGCCUUUACUUCAUUUAAUCAAUUAAUCAAUGUUAUUGCGAACUUGUAUAGUUCAUACCACACUCUUCGGCUCUACCCACGAAUUAUCCAGUAACAGGCCUUUCACAAUCAGACCGACCUAUACAGUAACGAUAUUUAAUUAGGAAAGUUAGCUGGGGUAGCUGACCUUCGUAGUCCGUUCUUGACCGAGUGCAAACCUCAGUUUUAUGUUUUUUUUUUGUUUUUGAAUUUCAAUAAGAUUUCCUCCGCUUAAUGGAUAAGCGUUUGCUAUCAAUGGAGAAUUUCUUCUUAUCUGAAAUUCCGGUGAUUGGAUUUGCACCAACGGAAACCAUAAACUUUAGACACAAUAGAGGAAUCGAUUUGCUUAUUUUUCGAUAGUGAAUAGAGUUCUUUCCUCUAUUCUAUCCUAUUUACUGGUAUUGAUCAUUCAUCCCAACAUACCGAAAAUCGGUUUUCUUUCUUUUUUUUUUCGUCAGCUCAUAAUCGAAACGAGUCGCACAUACACCCUAGUACAUGUUCCUCGACGCUGAGGACAGCCCCGAAGAGCGGGGGAUUUCGGGACAUUUCGAAUCGGCUGUCUUGUAUUUCUAAUAAGUUGUUUAAUAGUAGGCAUGUUGAAUCAUAUACAUAAUGGGCAGGUUUAGAUUAAUCCUAACCGGGUGAUUCUAAAUUAUUUGUAUUUAAAAAAAUAUUAAUAAAAUAGUAAACCCGGAGAUAAAAUAUCAAAUCCCGGAUUUUCACAAAAUCCCUUUUUUUGUCAUUGAACUGCUACAAAAUCAAUAAUUCCAUAAGCUUGGGCUUCUGUUGCUGACAUAAAAACGUCUCUUUCCAUGUCUUCAGAUACAACCCAUAAUGGUUUGCCCGUCCUUUGUACAUAAACCCUUGUGAUGGUUUCGCGUAGUUUCAGCAGUUCUUCCGCUUCCAAGAUAAAUUCCCCCGUUUGCGCCUCAUAAAAAGAACUAGCGGGUUGAUGGAUCAUUACCCUGAUGAUAGAAGGGUUCUCUAUCUGGUGUGAUGAAACGAAGAGGAAAUAAGGAUAAAGAAUAAUAGGAAAAAAAGAUCGAAUUGAGCAACCGUACGGGCAUCAUCUUUUGUGCAUUGCAUACGGCUCUACAAUCAAAUUGACCCUUCAAAUUCAAGAAAUAGAAAAAAAUCUAUCAGCUCCAAGCCCUAGAUGGGUAAAUGAUCAAAACGCCACCCUUCCUUUCGUAGGGGUUCAAAAAUACUAUGAUGGCUCCGUUGCUUUCUAUUUCAAAAUAGAUUUUUUUGUCUUUGAUUGAGCAAUCCCAAAGUUUCUUUUUAAUCCAACCAAAAAAGGAAAAAUCUUGUUUUUUUUUUUCGCACUCUUUUUUAUAGAACAUAAAUAUUGUUAAGAGCCCUUCGGUGUGAAAACAAAAAGGUUUGUAACGCUGAAUUGGCUUCCCAAUAAAUAAGAGAAAAUGGGAAAUACCUUUUAUUUCAUACUAAUCUCUCGAUACAUAAUUGAAUCUUUUGAAAAAAAAAACAAUACAAAAAUUUUCCAUAUCGAAUUCGAAGUGCCAUGCUAUUAUUACUUAAUAUUCAUAUGGCGAAGGCAUAGUUUUCUUUUUUCUCUCAAAUCAAAAACCUCAUUGGCGCCAAGCGUGAGGGAAUGCGAAACGUUUGGUAAUUGCUCCCCCAACCAGGAGCAAAGAUCCCAUUGACGCGGCUAGUCCCAUGCAUAUUGUAUGGACCUCUGGGCGCACAAACUGCAUAGUAUCAUAAAUAGCUAAUCCAUCUAUUACCCACCCGCCAGGGGAGUUUAUAAACAAAUAGAAAUCUUUGGCAGCAUUCUCAAGACUGAAAUAUACCAUAAGACCAAUAAGUUGAUUCGAGAUCUCGCUAUCAACUUCUUGGCCUAAAAAAAGGAAUCUUUCUUGAUAAAGUCGGUUGAGUGGGGUAAAAUUGCAUCCCCUAGGAACCGUACAUGCACCUUUUGAUGCAUACGGUUCAAAAAAAAAGAAUCAAUGUAUAAAUUCUAGUCCUCUUUCCUUUUUCCUAUUCUUUUUAAUAGCAGGUUUUUUCGAACUUCUACCGAAAGGGCUUUUUUUCAAUAACGACGAGUUUUGACUUAGUUUCUUUCUUAGAAUAGAAAAAAGUUAAUAAACUUAUUGAAUUAACUUCUCAUUGAUGUAUUGUUUCAUCGAGAUUCAAUCCAAAUCACGAUGGUGUUUUCAUGUUCCUGAAUGGGCCUAUUUCAUUUUUUUAGGUUUAUGCUCUACUCCGGGUAAAGAUCCGGCCGAUUUCGAUUUGCACAUAUAGGACAAAUCUUCUCAUCACCAUUUCUUUUUGUUAUGACUUUAGAAAUAACAAACAGGAAUCAUUUAUGAUACACUAAUUAUAGAUAUGCUCCUAAUUGGGUUUUUUCUAAACGGAGCCUGGAUACUUCAUUUUUUAGUCCAACAAGAGCCAACCAUAAAUCAUUCUAAUUGAUAAUAAAACUAUGAAUUCCUCCAAACAAUGCAUCGAAUUGCACUUCACACUCCAAUUUUUGGAUGAUUCAAUUUCUCUUUUUUGGCGAAAUAGAGGCGGGGACGAGAACGGGGAAAUACCAUAUGACCCAAUCUAUUUGACAAGUCCCACUAUACGUCAACCCAAGAUGCAUCGUCAUCUCCAGGAAUUCGGAAGGGUACUUUUGGAACACCAAUAGGCAUGAAUUGAAAGAAAAAAGAACUAAAUUUCACUUUGAUGCGGAAACGUAAUAAUAUGGUUUUAUUGUCUCUAUUUUCGAAUAUUGGCUUUAUCAUAUUUUUUUAUCCAAAGAUUCAAAAAUUCAGAAAGAAAGACAAAAUCAAUAAAGGAAAAUUUUUACAAAUAGGUUUUCCUAAUGAGAAAUUAAGGAUAGACAUAUUUACUCAUAGAAACUGGCAUCAAUCUCCCAUUGCGUAUUGGUACUUAUCGAGUAUAGAAUAAAUCUGCUUAUCGUUGUUUCUACGAACAGAAUUCUUCCAUUAUUAGGAACAGAAGUUAAUAAAUAUUAACUUAACCCUUGUUAGUAAAUAAUCCACUGAAGAAGUGCAGUCUAUAGGAUAAUCAUAGUAUUACAGUCUUUGCAAUGCAAUAAAGUUACGUAGUGUCUAUUUUUCUUUGAUAAGGGGGUAUUUUCCAUGGGUUUGCCUUGGUAUCGUGUUCAUACCGUUGUAUUGAAUGAUCCCGGCCGGUUGCUUUCCGUUCAUAUAAUGCAUACAGCUCUGGUUGCUGGUUGGGCGGGUUCGAUGGCUCUGUAUGAAUUAGCCGUUUUUGAUCCUUCUGACCCUGUUCUUGAUCCAAUGUGGAGACAGGGUAUGUUCGUUAUACCCUUCAUGACUCGUUUAGGAAUAACCAAUUCGUGGGGAGGUUGGAGUAUCACAGGAGGGACUGUAACAAAUCCGGGGAUUUGGAGUUACGAGGGUGUAGCUGGGGCACAUAUUGUGUUUUCUGGCUUAUGCUUUUUGGCAGCUAUCUGGCAUUGGGUCUAUUGGGAUCUAGAAAUUUUUUGCGAUGAACGUACAGGAAAACCUUCUUUGGAUUUACCUAAGAUCUUUGGAAUUCAUUUAUUUCUCUCCGGGGUGGCUUGUUUUGGUUUUGGUGCAUUUCAUGUAACAGGCCUGUACGGUCCUGGAAUCUGGGUGUCCGAUCCUUAUGGAUUAACGGGAAAAGUACAACCUGUAAAUCCGUUGUGGGGCGUGGAAGGUUUUGAUCCUUUUGUUCCGGGAGGAAUAGCUUCUCAUCAUAUUGCAGCAGGUACAUUGGGCAUAUUAGCGGGUCUAUUCCAUCUUAGCGUUCGACCGCCACAACGUCUAUACAAAGGAUUGCGCAUGGGAAAUAUCGAAACCGUACUCUCCAGUAGUAUCGCGGCUGUCUUUUUUGCAGCUUUUGUUGUUGCUGGAACUAUGUGGUAUGGUUCAGCAACUACCCCCAUUGAAUUAUUUGGUCCUACUCGUUAUCAAUGGGAUCAGGGUUACUUCCAGCAAGAGAUCUAUCGAAGAGUUAGCGUCGGGCUAGCAGAAAAUCAAAGUUUAUCAGAAGCCUGGUCGAAAAUUCCUGAAAAAUUAGCUUUUUACGAUUAUAUUGGCAAUAAUCCGGCAAAAGGAGGAUUAUUCAGGGCGGGUUCGAUGGAUAACGGGGAUGGAAUAGCGGUUGGAUGGUUAGGGCACCCUAUUUUUAGGGAUAAAGAAGGGCGUGAGCUUUUUGUACGUCGUAUGCCUACUUUUUUCGAAACAUUUCCAGUCGUUUUAGUAGAUGGCGACGGAAUUGUUAGAGCCGAUGUCCCCUUUCGAAGAGCAGAAUCGAAGUAUAGUGUUGAACAGGUGGGUGUAACCGUUGAGUUCUAUGGUGGCGAACUCAAUGGAGUCACUUAUAGUGAUCCUGCUACCGUCAAGAAAUAUGCUAGACGUGCUCAAUUGGGUGAAAUUUUUGAAUUAGAUCGGGCGACUUUGAAAUCCGAUGGUGUUUUUCGUAGCAGUCCAAGGGGUUGGUUUACUUUUGGACAUGCUUCGUUUGCUUUGCUUUUUUUCUUCGGACACAUUUGGCAUGGUGCUAGAACUUUGUUCAGAGAUGUUUUUGCUGGUAUUGACCCAGAUUUGGAUGCUCAAGUAGAGUUUGGAGCAUUUCAAAAAAUUGGGGAUCCAACUACAAGAAGACAGGCAGUUUGAUACAAGACCGCUUUGGUAUCUUUCGCCUCUAUUUUUUUGGUUUUGCAAGGAAUUUUCGAUAGAGUAUCGGAGUGAAUUUGAAUCGCUGCUUUUGAACUCUUGCUCUUUCGAGAUGAUUACCAAAAAGAAUAAAAAAAAAAAGAAAAAACAAACAGGUAGGGAAGCUAUAAUUGUAAAUCACAAUCGAAUCUAUGGAAGCUUUGGUUUAUACAUUCCUUUUAGUCUCGACUCUAGGAAUAAUUUUUUUUGCUAUCUUUUUUCGAGAACCACCUAAAGUUCCAACUAAAAAGCUGAAAUGAUUUUUCAUUAUCUCAAUUGAAGUAAUGAGCCCCCCCGGGGGGGGCUCAUUACUUCAACUAGUCCCCAUGUUCCUCGAAUGGAUCUCUUAGUUGUUGAGAAGGUUGCCCAAAAGCGGUAUAUAAGGCAUACCCGGUAAAACUGACAAGUAAACCAGAUAUAAAGAUGGCGACUAGGGUUGCUGUUUCCACUAUGAUUCUAUCAUUUCAAGAUCCGUUAGGAUUUCUCAUAAGAUUGUUUAUUUACAACGGAAUGGUAUACAAAGUCAACAGAUCUCAAUGAAUACAAUAGAAUUUAUGGCUACACAAACUGUUGAGAACAGUUCUAGAUCGGGCCCAAGACGAACUACUGUAGGGAGUUUAUUAAAACCAUUGAAUUCGGAAUAUGGUAAAGUAGCUCCAGGUUGGGGAACGACCCCUUUGAUGGGAGUCGCAAUGGCUCUAUUUGCGGUAUUUCUAUCUAUUAUUUUGGAGAUUUAUAAUUCGUCUGUUUUAUUGGAUGGAAUUUCAAUGAAUUAAAUCUCUAAGAACCACAAAGUUUUCAUUUUGGAACCAAAAAACAAUCAGUUAGAACUUGGAUUUAUGGCCUAUUCUAUUUUGGUAGUUCGAUCGUGGAAUUUCUUUCUUUCUGUAUUUCCGGAAUAUGAGUGUGUGACUUGUUCUAAUUGAUUCUAUUGAUAGUACAGAGACUAGGUCUGUCACCUUGAUAGAGAUGGUUCUACUUCGUCGGAUAUUUCUUCAAGUAUCUGGAACACAAACUAUAAUGAACUAGAUUAAGAAAUAUUUGAACUAUGAUUCAUACUUAAUAUUCGACCUCGUGUCCGGACACCAAAAAAAUUUCAAACUGUUUGAAAAAAAGAAAAAUCUUUCUUUUUUUAGUCUAAUUCAUGAAAUAUGUGAUAGUCCAAUGGCUCUUACUCAAGGAAUCCUUGGCUUAGCUUAUGAUUUUUUAUUGAAUCAUCGUGGUUCUAGUAUGAAUCUGAGGUUUUAAUCAAUCCAUAGGGUCUUAACAAGAGAAUUCCUAUCAAUUCAAUAAUAAAGAAAGGAAAAAAGACACAGUAGAAACAAAAAAAUGAAAGAAAAAGAAAUAGGCAAAGAGAGGAUUCAAGAGGCCUGUAAGGAUUAAACAAAUAAAAUGGAGCCAACUUGAUAUUUUAGUAUUAUCACCGUAAAGAAGAGCUUUUGGAUUUCUUUCGUGCAUUUAGAAAAGAUUGAAUCGUAGAUUAAGAAAUUUCAAACUUUCUAUUGCAUAACUUUUUCUAUUGCAUAACUUUCUAGUCCAUAUCUGACUCUUUUUUUUUCUUUUGAAUUUGGGUGUUUUUGUUUGAGCUGUACGAGAUGAAAGUCUCAUAUACGGUUCUAAGAGGGGGAUUUUGACCUAUCUCAAUAAAGUCUAUGAUUGGUUCGAAGAACGCCUCGAGAUUCAGUCAAUUGCGGAUGAUAUAACUAGUAAAUAUGUUCCUCCCCAUGUCAAUAUAUUUUAUUGUUUAGGGGGAAUUACGCUUACUUGUUUUUUAGUACAAGUAGCUACGGGGUUUGCUAUGACUUUUUACUAUCGUCCGACUGUUACUGAAGCUUUUGCCUCUGUUCAAUACAUAAUGACGGAAGCUAACUUUGGUUGGUUAAUCCGAUCAGUUCAUCGAUGGUCGGCAAGUAUGAUGGUCCUGAUGAUGAUUCUACAUGUUUUUCGUGUAUAUCUCACCGGUGGAUUUAAAAAACCCCGCGAAUUAACUUGGGUUACGGGUGUGGUUCUGGCAGUAUUGACCGCAUCUUUUGGCGUAACUGGUUAUUCCUUGCCUCGGGACCAAAUUGGUUAUUGGGCAGUGAAAAUUGUAACAGGUGUACCUGAGGCUAUUCCUGGAAUAGGAUCACCUUUGGUAGAAUUAUUGCGCGGAAGUGCUAGUGUGGGACAAUCCACCUUGACUCGUUUUUAUAGUUUACACACUUUUGUAUUGCCGCUUCUUACUGCUGUAUUUAUGUUAAUGCACUUUCUAAUGAUACGUAAGCAAGGUAUUUCUGGUCCUUUAUAGAGAAGAUAUCUAAUAGAUAUUUGGAAUCAAUCAUUUAUCACUUAGAGGAGAAAUAAUAGGAUUUUAUUGCUACAAGUAUGGAUUAUUGAAAAGAAUAAGACAUGGAUUUGGAUGUUUCCCUUCAACGAAUCAAAAUACUAUUGCGCAGUUGAAGAGAAUUCUCCGAAGAGAAAAUGGAUUAUGGGAGUGUGUGACUUGAACUAUUGAUUGAUCUGUGUAGAUAGAUGUCUGCCGCAUUGCAAUUCACAUCAAAAUGUGUCUUUGUUCCAACCACCAUGUAACCCUUAAUACAGAAGAUAGGCUGAUUCGCUUAAAGAGAAUCUUUUCUAUGAUCAGGUCCGAAUCGUGUUGUACAUGAGCAGGCUCCGUAAAAUCUAGUAUAGUUAAGUCAACUAGAUAAAGAUUCUGCUUUAUCUAGUUCACUUACUGAAUUUCCUACUUAAAUACUUAAAAUGCAAUAGUGUGAAGAUGCAUUCAUUUCCUCUGCAUUGAUAUCAUCGAUAAUACUAUCGGAGUGAAAGAAGAGAUCUAAAGAAAAAUAUAGGCUAGACUAAAUUAGUAACAAGUAAACCUUUUCUAUGUGUAUCUCCAGCUAUUUUUGAGAUAACAUAGUAAUCGUAAAGUUUGAGACGACCCAGAAAGCACUUGAUCAUAUCAUGAUCAACUUUGUAAGCCUACUUGGGUAUUGAGUAUUUACUUAGCUUAGAACCGAAUUCUUUGUAAUAGAUAGUUUCCAUUUGGAAAAAAGAGUCCAAUUUUUCUUACAUUGAAUCAUUCACAUAUGUGUAGAUAUAUGCAACACAUAGAUUUUUUAUGAAUUCAUUUGGUUCUGUUGAGUCUUGCUUGAGCCGGAUGAUAAAAAAUUAUCAUGUCCGGUUCCUUCGGGGGAUGCAUCUCUAAGAAUUCACCUAUCCCAAUAACAAAAAAACCUGAUUUGAAUGAUCCUGUAUUAAGAGCUAAAUUGGCUAAAGGUAUGGGUCAUAAUUAUUAUGGAGAACCUGCAUGGCCCAAUGAUCUUUUAUAUAUUUUUCCGGUAGUAAUUCUAGGUACUAUUGCAUGUAACGUAGGUUUAGCGGUUCUAGAACCAUCAAUGAUUGGUGAACCGGCAGAUCCAUUUGCAACUCCUUUGGAAAUAUUACCGGAAUGGUAUUUCUUUCCCGUAUUUCAAAUACUUCGUACGGUGCCCAAUAAAUUAUUGGGUGUUCUUUUAAUGGUUUCAGUGCCUGCGGGAUUAUUAACGGUACCUUUUUUAGAGAAUGUUAAUAAGUUCCAAAAUCCAUUUCGUCGUCCAGUAGCGACAACCAUCUUUUUGAUUGGUACCGCAGUCGCUCUUUGGUUGGGUAUUGGUGCAACAUUACCCAUUGAUAAAUCUCUAACUUUAGGUCUUUUUUAAUUUGAUUCAAUUGUGAAAUAACAUGACGUGUGUAUCUAGGGAAUAAUCGCUUCAAAGUGAAUUAUCCCUAGAUACAUCUAUUCAAUAAAAUUCUGAAUCUCUUUCGAAUAGAUGAAUUGUACUACAGAUUCAAAACCUAUUUGAAUCUUAAUUCAAAAUAGACGAAAAAGAUUCAAUAGAUUUCAAACCUCUUUUUUGGUAAAUCAAUUGCGAAAUGUUUUUCUACAAUGCCUAAUAUCUUUUUUACAUCGUCUAGGCAAAAAUGUUCAAUUUUCCUAAGCUCUUCUUGACUCUUAUUCAAAAGGUCCGAUAAUGUAUAUAUAUUGGACCUUUUCAGGCAAUUAUAGACUCUGGGAGAAAAUUCGGAUUGAUCAAUAAAAAUCGAUUUUACUGCUAUUUUUUUUUUGUUUUUUCUGAGUUUAUUCAAUUUAUCGUGAAAAGAAAAAGGGGAUAAAGGAACCAUGUCUUGAUUGUUCUCUAAAGGUACGUUUUCUUCUUCCUUUUUAAAAAAGGAACUAAAUAAAUCAAUUAAAUUCCGAGAGGCUUCAUGAAGUGCUUCUUUCGGGGUUAAACUCCCAUUUGUCCAUAUUUCGAGAAAGAGUAUUUCUUGUUUUUGAUUCCCAUUCCCAUACGAAUGAAUACUAUGAUUCACAUUUCGAACAGGCAUGAAUACAGCAUCUAUAGGAUAACUUCCAUCUUUCAAGUUAUGCGGCAUUUUUCGAAGAUAGCCGCGAUUUCUCUGGAUUUUUAAUCCAAUACACAAACUAAUUGGUUCUGUCAAGCUAGCUAUAUGUUGUGUAUUGUCGACGAUUUCUACAUAAGGCGGUACGAUGAUAUCUUGAGCAGUUACAUAUCCAGGACCCCUGACAGAAAUAUACGCGUCACAAGUUCCAUAUAGAUUACUUCUCAAUACAAUUUCUUUCAAAUUUAUGAAAAUUUCAUGAAUCGAUUCUUGAAUACCCAUUAUAGUACAGUAUUCAUGGGGGACAUUCUCAGAUUUUACACGUGUGAUACAUGUUCCUUCUAUUUCUCCAAGCAAAGCUCUUCGAAUCCCAAUGCCGAUUGUGUCGGCUUGUCCUUUCAUAAGGGGAGAUAGAAUAAAGCGCCCAUAAUAAAGGCGUUUACUAUCUGUUCUCGAUUCAACACACUUCCAAUGUAGUGUCCGAGUAGAUACUGUUACUUUCUCUCGAACCAUAGUAUUAUUAUUUUAUUUUAUUGAAUUAUUUAUUUCUCUUGUUUCUCUUGAAAUUUAUUCACUGUUCAUUUCUACACACGUCUUUUUUUCGGGGGUCUACAGCCAUUAUGUGGCAUAGGGGUUACAUCUCGUAUAAAAGUUAAUAGUAUACCACUUCGACAAAUAGCUCGUAAUGCCGCGUCUCUUCCGAGACCGGGGCCUUUUAUCAUGACUUCUGCUCGUUGCAUACCUUGAUCGACUACUGUACGAAUAGCAUUUGCUGCCGCUGUUUGGGCGGCAAAGGGUGUCCCUCUUCUCGUACCCUUCAAUCCACAAGUACCGGCCGAGGACCAGGAGACUACCCGACCCCGUACAUCUGUAACCGUUACAAUUGUGUUAUUGAAACUUGCUUGAACAUGAAUAACUCCCUUUGGGAUUCUACGUGCACUCUUACGUGAACCAAUACGUACAUUCCUACGCGAACCGGUUCUCGGUAUAGCUUUUGCCAUAUUGUAUCAUCUCAUAAAUAUGAGUCAGAAAUAUAUGGAUAUAUCCAUUUCAUGUCAAAAGAGAUUCUUUAUUUGUAUAUUGAGUCCUUUAGCAAGUCGGAUUAUCCUUGUCUUUGUUUAUGUCUCGGGUUGGAACAAAUUAGUCUAAUGCGACCCCGCCUGCGAAUUAGUCGACAUUUUUCACAAAUUUUACGAACAGAAGCUCUUAUUUUCAUAGUUUUUAUUCCUUAUCUUAUAUCUUAAUUCCGAAUUUACUUUUUGGUAGAAAAGAAGUUUCUUGAAAUUUUUCAUCUAGAAUCGUAGUGAAUAAAAACCACCUAAUCUUUCGAAUCCUUGUUUCGGAGUCGAUAAAUUAUACGUCCUCUGGUUGAAUCAUAACGACUUACUUCAAUUUUGACUUUAUCUCCCGGCAGUAUCCGUAUAAAACUACGUCGGAUCUUCCCUGAAACAUAACCUAGAACCAGAUCUUCAUUAUCUAACCGAACCCGGAACAUGCCAUUGGGAAGUGAUUCAGUAAUUAAACCCUCAUGAAUCCAUUUUUGUUCUUUCAUUCCAGGUAAAGACCCCCUGAAGUAUCAACUAAUGGUGAAGAAAGGAUAUUAGGCAACUGAUCCUCUUUCUUUUUUUUACAAAUAGGAAGAGGUUUCGGAUUCCAUUUCGAUAGUAAAAGGAUUACCAUACGGAACACAAAAUUUCUCCGCCGAUUCCUUGUAGUCGAGCCUCCCGGUCUGUCAUUAUGCCUCGAGAAGUAGAAAGAAUUAGAAUUCCCAUCCCACCCAAAAUUCUAGGAAUUUGUUGAGAGUUGGAAUAGAUUCGUAGACCCGGUCGGCUAAUCCGUUUUAAAUUUAAAAAUUUUCUAUAGGGUCUUUUCCUAUUUCUUCUAUGUCCCAGGGUUAAAACCAAAAAAUAGUUGUCUUUUUCUCUCUGUUUUCGGACGUUUUCGAUAAAACCUUCUCGGAAAAGGAUUUUAACAAUAUUUUUGGUAAUAUUAGUAGAUGCUAUGCGAACAACUCUUUUUCUAUCCAUAUCGGCAUUUCGUAUCGAGGUUAUUAUCUCAGCAAUAGUGUCUCUACCCAUGAUGAACUAAGAUGAUUGUUGCUUUCAAAUUGGAUAUAAUCAACAUGUUUUUUUGUUUUUAUUGGUUUCGAAGUAUGAAUUUUGCAAGGUGUAUACGUGAGACACAAUACUACGAAUUAAUUUCGUUAUUAAUUUAUUUCUGUCAAAUAAAUCAAAGAUAUCACGAUCUUAUUUUAUUUUAUAAUACCUCGGGAGCUAAUGAAAUUAUUUUAGUAAAAUUUAAUUGUCUUAAUUCCCGGGGAAUUGCGCCAAAAAUUCGAGUUCCCCUUGGAUUUCCUUCUUGAUCAAUUACAACUGCAGCAUUGUCAUCAUAUCGUAUUAUCAUACCGCUGUCACGUUUAAGUUCUUUACAGGUACGAACAAUCACAGCUCUGACUACCUCGGAUUUUUCUAGGAGCAUAUUUGGUACUGCUUCUUUGAUCACGGCAACAAUAACGUCACCAAUAUGAGCAUAUCGACGAUUACUAGCUCCUAUGAUUCGAAUACACAUCAAUUCUCGAGCUCCGCUGUUAUCCGCUACAUUCAAAUGGGUCUGAGGUUGAAUCAUAUCAAGUUUUUGCUCUAUUCUUUCAAUGCAAAAGAUGAAAAAACUAAAAGAGAUAUUGGUUGUCCAAAAAAAGAAACCUGCAAUUUUGUUUCAUUCCCAAAACUCAUUUCUGUCGGUUCUACAUUUUUAGACCGAAAUAACAAAUUGAGUUCGUAUAGGCAUUUUGGAUGCGGCUAUUAAAAUAGCCCUUCUAGCAAUAGUUUCACUUACUCCACCCAUCUCAUAGAGUAUUUUCCCUGGUUUAACAACAGCUACCCAAUAUUCCGGGUAUCCUUUCCCAGAACCCAUACGUGUUUCAGCGGGUCUUACUGUAACUGGUUUGUCUGGAAAUAUACGCACCCAUAUUUUUCCACCACGGCGUGCAUUUCGUGUCAUUGCUCGUCGACCCGCUUCGAUUUGUCUAGAUGUGAUCCAAGCGGGUUCAAGUGCCUGAAGAGCAUAUUUCCCGAAACAAAUAUGAUUACCUCGAUAUGAUAUUCCCUUUAUUCUUCCUCUAUGUUGUUUACGGAAUCUAGUUCUUUUGGGGUUAUAGUUGAUAGUUGGUUCGGAAUUCCAUCUCUACUACAGAACUGGACAUGAGAGUUUCUUCUCAUUCAGCUCCUCGCGAAUAGAAAGGAUUCAAAAUUCAAUUUCAAUUAAUUUGAACAGAUAUUCGCACAUUUUCCUAAAAUAUUUUCAAAAUCAAAAUAAUAAUUUUUUCGAACCUUCUAAUAAAUCUUUAGUUUCUUUUGUCCUUCUACCAAGUCAAAGAAAAAAGCUUUCGCGGGCGAAUAUUUCCUUUUGUAAUCUCUAUAUUCAGUCGUAGCGCUUCUUCGUGACUUCUCAGAUUUCUUUUUGGUUCAUUUCGCCAUCCCUACUAGUGAAUGAGUAAGAUUUGUUUGUUCAAUAAAUUUUUUUUCGGUCACAGGUCUCAUCGUUCCCACCGCUUCGUACUUAAAUGGUUAGGUCAGAAUUCUACAACGGAGCUCAUAACACAAUUUAUUUUUGAGUCAACUUUCUUAGUCUUUAUUGGCUCCAAGCCCUUAAUUUUCUUCGUAAAAAACACUUUUUUCUUAUAUUAUAUUAAGAAGGAUUCAUUUAAUAUUUAAUUAUUAAUCUAUUUAGUAUUGAUGCUUUAUUACACUGUCUUUUAUGAGAUGUUUCAUAGACCUUACAUAUUGGAAUUCUAUAUCCGAGAUAUUUUUUUCUCUCUUUCUCUCAUCCUUCCAUUUAUCCGCCCCUUUCUUUUGGAUUUUGCUUCAAACUGCGAAUUUAAGUUUAUUCAAAAAAAUUUCAGUUGCUACAAGGAUAUGAACGAUUUAUCAUAUCUUGACUGGUUCUUUCGAUCCAGAUAAUACGAAGUGAUGAAUUGGUUUUCAUACUACCGGGUUUUUAACCCUAACCUUAAAAAAACCAACGAGUCACACACUAAGCAUAGCAAUUAUAUCACAAAGUCAAUCUACUUUUUAUUCAAUCCUCUAGAAUUAAGAAUUAGUUUGAUUGACCAGAAAAAGAAUGAAUUGGUUUCCUUUUUUUAUUCAAUCAAUGCAUAGAAGCGAAAAACAAUUAAAAUUUUCUUAGUCUUCUUCCUUGUCUAUAAAAAUCCAAAUUUUGAUGCCUAAUAUCCCAUAAAUAGUCCGAACUCUAUAGGAACAAUAAUUAAUUUUAGCUCGAAUUGUUUGUAGCGGAACCCUACCCUCUCUGAUCCAUUCAACACGUGCGAUUUCUUUUCCGUCGAUACGCCCUGCAAUUUGCACUUGAA